rnacentral:misc_RNA from 1 species
GGAAGGAUCAUUAAAAUGGACCCGGUCCUAGCGACCGACCUCAGCACUGAAGCCGAAGGUAGGGCUGCCCAAAGUCGUAAAGGGCUUGGGGUAGAAACCUACCCAAGGUGAAUGUGUAAAACCAAUUGUUGGAACUUCUAUCUUUUGCUUCGGCAGUACAAGUCCUGCUUGUAAGCGGGGAAUGGUAAAGCUGCCAGAGGCCUUUUUGCAAAACCAGUUGAUGAAAUGUCAUGCCGUCUGAUACUCUUUAUAUAGUAUUUGAGAAAUCGAAUAACUGUUAAAACUUUCAGCAACGGAUCUCUUGGUUCCCGCAUCGAUGAAGAACGCAGCGAAACGCGAUAGGUAAUGUGAAUUGCAGAAUUCCGUGAAUCAUCGAAUCUUUGAACGCACAUUGCGCCUUCUGGUAUUCCGGUAGGCAUAUCUGUUUGAGCGUCAGCGAAAACCCCCUCAGCAAUUUAUUUUGUUGGUACUGGGUCGGGAGUAUAACGUGCCGUUCACCGGCAGGCUCUCCCGCCUUAAACUUGCUGCACGACCGCAAGCUAGGGCUAGGUUCAUGAAGUGGUUGUUCACAUAUAUUUCAUAACGUAGGCCUUUGGCGAACGGCGUUAAAAGCCGACGUUUCUCUUCGGAGCGACUGAAGUUUUGACCUCAAAUCAGAUAAGGAUACCCGCUGAACUUAAGCAUAUCAAUAAGCGGAGGAAAAGAAACCAACAGGGAUUGCCUCAGUAACGGCGAGUGAAGCGGCAAGAGCUCAGAUUUGAAAUCCGGUAGGCUUUGCCUGCCCGAGUUGUAAUCUGGAGAGAGGACUUCGGCUUAGGCGACGGUCUAGAUUCCUUGGAACAGGAUAACACAGAGGGUGAGAAUCCCGUCUUUGGCCGACUGCCGACGCCAUGUGAAGCUUCUUCGACGAGUCGAGUUGUUUGGGAAUGCAGCUCUAAAUGGGUGGUAAAUUCCAUCUAAGGCUAAAUAUCUGCGGGAGACCGAUAGCGCACAAGUAGAGUGAUCGAAAGAUGAAAAGCACUUUGAAAAGAGAGUUAAAAAGUACGUGAAAUUGUUGAAAGGGAAGCGCUUGCCAUCAGAAUUGGGGUUAGCCGAUCAGCGUUCCUUCUGGUUCGUGCACUCGGUUGACAUCCGUGCCAGCACCAGUUGAAGCGGCAUGAUAAAGGUGGCGGGAAUGUGGCUCCCCUCGGGGAGUGUUAUAGCCCGCUACGUCAUGAUGCCAACUUCGACUGAGGACCGCGCCCUAGGCAAGGGUGCUGGCUUAAUGGUUGCAAGCGGCCCGUCUUGAAACACGGACCAAGGAGUCUAACAUCUAUGCGAGUGUUUGGGUGACUAAACUCACACGCGAAAUGAAAGUGAACGGAGGUGAGAGCCCGCAAGGGUGCAUCAUCGACCGAUCCUGAAGUCUUCGGAUGGAUUUGAGUAGGAGCAUAGCUGUUGGGACCCGAAAGAUGGUGAACUAUGCCUGAAUAGGGUGAAGCCAGAGGAAACUCUGGUGGAGGCUCGCAGCGGUUCUGACGUGCAAAUCGAUCGUCAAAUUUGGGUAUAGGGGCGAAAGACUAAUCGAACCAUCUAGUAGCUGGUUCCUGC